rnacentral:lncRNA from 1 species
GAACUGUGCUCUACCAACUCUGUGUUCUGUUUUCUUCCCCCUCCAUGUGUGCCUUGAACUCAACCUGCCUUUCCUCCUCCAGGUUCUUCUGUCUUCCCCUCUGAAUCCCGCCCAGCCAUCAAAGCCAAUCUCCCUGGCAGCCUGGUGCCACCCUCUCCCCAGAUCUAUUGCAGCGCUAGUAUUUUCUAUUUCUUCCGAGCCACCCAGCAUCUGUAGGAACUCCUCCCUCUGCUCCCAUCUACUGUCUGGUAGCAUUCGAUAUCACCCUGCAGUGAAAUGUUCUCCUCAGAUAGCUCACCUGAGAGCUGCUUACACAAUCAGUCUCCUUUAUCCCUCGUAUCCAUGGACUGGGUGCUCCUGUCUU